GAUUGAAGCAGCCUACUCCAGCCAGCCUGCCUGUCACAGAUAACCAUCAUGGGACUGGAGCCAAGGGUGCAACUGGAUGUGGCAGAAACCCUGGACCCCGGACAAAACCACGAGAGGGGUUGUCAGAAGAUCCUCUGAUCCUGAGGAAAUCUGGUACACCGAUGGAAGCAGCUUUGUCUUAGAUGGAAAAAGAAGAGCUGGAUAUGCAGUAGUCUCCAAUUCUGAGAUCAUAGAGGCUAAACCUUUGCUACCAGCAGUCAAGGUUCCAGGACAUGACUCCUGGAUUCACUACUCACAAGUCAAGCCAUGGAAGAAAACGGAAAAGGACACUCAAUCCACUUGUGAGCCCCUGGGAGAUCUCAGAUACCAAUUCAGAACUACAGAUGAAUGCCAUUCUAAUGAACACCAUCGAAAUUAAAUUUCUGGGAUAAGAUUUCUCAGGAUAGCUGUAAAGAGCCAACACAGCUUGGCAGGAGUUGCACUCCAAAACAGACAAGAGAUAGAUCUCCUGAUCCUUGAAUAAGGAGGGACUUCAGCCAUCUUGAAUGAGAUGUGUUAUUUCUGCAUAAAUACCCCCA
rnacentral:lncRNA from 1 species